rnacentral:lncRNA from 1 species
GUUCCGGCGACUCCGUCAUCGGACCACAACUUCAUGUCGCGAUGUGGUGGAGGAGGGUUUGAGCAGAUCUAGAAGUCGAUCAACCGUGAUUUUAUUGAAUCUGCUCUAAGAACCCACCGGAUCUCCAAAGAACCGUCAUCUCCGGCGAUGGUUAAGCAGCCGGAGAUCGGCAUCGUCGCUGCCGGUGAAUGUGCCGAACUGACAUCGAUGAUGAUGAUGAGGAGGAUGAUUGUAGCGUCGGUUAACCGGUGAGUUGAAUCGCCGGGGGAAGAUUUUCGGGUAAGAGAUUGUUAUGCGCGACGGUAGGAACCGUGGCCGGUGAUAAUUGUGUUAGUAGGCUACGUGUAUUAAUCAAUGUUAAAUUCAUAUGUAUGUAUGUGUUAUUUAAAGGAGUUUAGUUUUCAGUAUACUAAACCUAGAUUAAUAUAAAACUUUCUGCAAAUCCUUAAAAGUAGGGUAUUUUCGUGGCAGGACAAUCUUGUCUAGAAAAAUAUCCGCAUGAAAGCGAUCCGGUGUUUGGUGCUUAUAGCCUUUUGGGUUUGGAAAAAUUGAUAAUUUGAAGUAAAAGGAAGGGCCUACAAAUGCUUAAAAAAAUGAGGGCACUCUGCGAAUCUUAGGUCUGGCCGUCUCUUAUCUUAGAUGUUUGAUAAGGUUUUGAAACAACAAACAGAGACUAACGAAAAAAAAAUGUGA